GACGAACGCUGGCGGCGUGCUUAACACAUGCAAGUCGAUCGGAAAGGCCCUGCUUUUGUGGGGUGCUCGAGUGGCGAACGGGUGAGUAACACGUGAGUAACCUGCCCUUGACUUUGGGAUAACUUCAGGAAACUGGGGCUAAUACCGGAUAGGAGCUCCUGCUGCAUGGUGGGGGUUGAAAAGUUUCGGCGGUUGGGGAUGGACUCGCGGCUUAUCAGCUUGUUGGUGGGGUAGUGGCUUACCAAGGCUUUGACGGGUAGCCGGCCUGAGAGGGUGACCGGCCACAUUGGGACUGAGAUACGGCCCAGACUCCUACGGGAGGCAGCAGUGGGGAAUAUUGCACAAUGGGCGGAAGCCUGAUGCAGCAACGCCGCGUGCGGGAUGACGGCCUUCGGGUUGUAAACCGCUUUCGCCUGUGACGAAGCGUGAGUGACGGUAAUGGGUAAAGAAGCACCGGCUAACUACGUG
rnacentral:rRNA from 1 species